rnacentral:tRNA from 1 species
UGGCUCAGUGGUAGAGCGCUUGCCUUGCAUGCAUGAGGCCCUGGGGUUCGAUUCCUUA